GCCUUAGCGAGGCCAUGGGGGAAAAAGUCUAACUGGCGGAACUCCUGGGAACUGGGGCGAUGGGCUCUUAGUAUCGGAGGAUUGGAGCCAUCUGAUUUUUACCUGAAAUUCCUUAGUCUCUCCUGUGUUGGGGAAAUGGUAAGUAAGACAGAUUUUCACCAACAGAGAGCGUUUCUAUCUCUUCUCUACUCCUCCCUUUUAAAAUUGAGAUUCUGACAGUGUAAAGGAGUUAGGACCCCCUUUUGGGGAUCGGGCAUGGUUUUGUGGCUUUAAAAUGCUUUAAAAUUGCUGAAGUUUCUUGGUAUUGGAACUGUUUCUCCUAAGUAACAUUUUAUCAUCGCACGUGAAAUACUGUAACUCUCGGUGCCAAAUCCAGGAAAAAUGGGCGGUUAGGAGAAGUCCAGGGAAAGCCGACUGAGCAGGUUGUGAAGGUCACCUUGCCUUCAGGGACCUGGGCUUUCAGCUGUCCAUACCUGGCCCUGGUUGAUGGCGGCAUGCUGGGCAGUGCACGUGAAGACGCACAUGAGACCGGGACUUGCUGUGUUGCCCAGGCUGGUCUUGAACUCCUGGUCUUAAGCAAUCAUACUGCUUUGGCCACCCAAAGCACUGGGAUUACAGGCGUGAACCACCACACCCAGCUCUUAAAACCACAGUAUUUCUAGCCCCGCAGCAGUUCCCGAGACCUUGUGCCUCCUUCCCCGACGCCGCCUGCUCACCGGUGCCCUCGGGCAGGCUCAGGAUGUCCUCGCCCUGCACCCAGCGGUAGCACGGGAAGGCCACCUCCGCGCAGGCUCCAGGGCCCUGCACCGUGAUGCGGUCGCAGAACCACGCGUCGUCCACCAGCCAGUGGUGCUUGCGCAGCCUCACGAACUGCAGGAGCCCCAAGUCCUCUGCAACGUCAUGAUCAAACUCCUCCUCCUGUGCAGGCCGGACCCAGGCCAGACUUAGUAGGAGGGACCCGACUGAGGCCGUUUCGAGGACAGAGCCGCGCUCCUGUGCAACCUCAGUUUCUCAGGGCCUCCAAAGACAGCAUCGCCUCGUUCCCGCCCCCGCACAACCUGCUCUUUGGGUCUCAGACGCCCGGAGUCGGGUGGAGGACGAGGGCCCGCAGCGCCUGGAGCUGAUGCUGGAGCAGCAUCGCCCACGUGGGUCCCAUUAACUGAGCUCUCCCCGCGCCGGUUCUUGGAGGAGCUUCACGUCUGACCUCUGGCCUCAUACUUACAUUGGCUCUGGGUCACUGGGAGAAGGAGCUGGGGGCUGCCGGGACCAGGGGCGGGAAAGGGAGAUGGGGUUGAGCCCAGCCCGGGAUCCCAGCUGCGGACCCUGUCCCUAAUCUUGCCCACCUCGUCCCAGCUUCGUGGAAGUCCCAGUCCGCGAGGUCGCGCUGUCAC
rnacentral:lncRNA from 1 species